UACGUAGGGUGCGAGCGUUAAGCGGAAUUACUGGGCGUAAAGCGUGCGCAGGCGGUUUUGUAAGCCAGAUGUGAAAUCCCCGGGCUUAACCUGGGAAUGGCAUUUGGGACUGCAAGGCUUGAGUGCGGCAGAGGAGACUGGAAUUCCUGGUGUAGCAGUGAAAUGCGUAGAUAUCAGGAGGAAUACCGAUGGCGAAGGCAGGUCUCUGGGCUGACACUGACGCUCAUGCACGAAAGCGUGGGGAGCAAACAGG
rnacentral:rRNA from 1 species